rnacentral:lncRNA from 1 species
CCUACAGAGACUCAACCCAGAUCUACUAGAAAAGUACCACAGCCAAACCAACCCCUGUUUGACAGAGUCGAAUUCUUCCCACCCCGAGAGAAUUGGUGCGGGCACCAGAAUCCGGAAAAGACUCCAAUCAAUUAACUCAAGGUCACUGUGGCUAACUUAAAUUUGAUCGAGUCCUGUAAAUAAAAUCAUUGAGUCAGAAAGCAAGCCAAGUCAGGUUUCUACCACCACCUUUGCACA